UGGGGAAUAUUGCGCAAUGGGGGAAACCCUGACGCAGCGACGCCGCGUGCGGGAUGAAGGCCUUCGGGUUGUAAACCUCUUUUGUUUGGGAGGAAGCUUUCGGGUGAGUGUACCUUUCGAACAAGCGCCGGCUAACUACGUGCCAGCAGCCGCGGUAAUACGUUGGGCGCAAGCGUUAUCCGGAAUGAUUGGGCGUAAAGAGCUUGUAGGCGGUUCGUAGAGUCUGGUGUGAAAGCGCAUCGGUUAACGGUGGGUAAGCAGUGGAUACGGGCGAGCUAGAGUGCAGUAGGGGAAACUGGAAUUCCUGGUGUAGCGGUGGAAUGUGUAGAUAUCAGGAAGAACACCGAUGGCGAAGGCAGGUCUCUGGGCUGUUACUGACGCUGAGGAACGAAAGCGUGGGGAGCGAACAGG
rnacentral:rRNA from 1 species